GAGUAUGUGGGCGGCCGCAGGCAGUAGGCAGGCAUUGCUGCUUAUGUCAGCUCUGAAAUGAAAGCAGCUGAGGCCUCUGCCUCUGAAGGCUUGCAAGGGAGAUCAGCACCCAGCAAAUAAGAAGCCAGCCCUGGCCCCGGAGGAGGAGGAGGAGGAGGAGGAGGAGAGGUUAAGCAUCCCUCUCCCGGUGUCCUUUAAAUGUGGAGCGUGGCCGUCUGCUUCUGACCCUCGCUUACAUCACUAACCUGUGACCAGCGCAUCUCCACGCCCGGUACCUGCUCCUCCAACAGCAGCUUCCAGUCCUAGGAGCCUCUUUGUAUGCGGCAGACAUGGCCAGCCAGCAGGAUUCCGGCUUCUUUGAAAUCAGUAUCAAAUAUUUACUGAAAUCCUGGAGUAACGCUUCUCCAGUUGGCAACGGUUACAUCAAGCCUCCAGUCCCACCUGCUUCAGGCACGCACAGGGAGAAAGGACCACCGGCCAUGUUGCCGAUCAAUGUGGACCCAGACAGCAAGCCAGGAGAGUAUGUCCUCAAGAGUGUAUUUGUGAGCUUCACCACUCAGGCUGAGCGUAAGA
rnacentral:lncRNA from 1 species